UAAGGUAGCGAAAUUCCUUGUCGGGUAAGUUCCGACCUGCACGAAUGGCGUAACGACUUCUCUGCUGUCUCAACCACAGGCCCGGUGAAAUUGCACUACGAGUAAAGAUGCUCGUUACGCGCGGCAGGACGAAAAGACCCCGGGACCUUCACUAUAGCUUGGUAUUGGUGUUUGGUUCGGUUUGUGUAGGAUAGGUGGGAGACGUUGA
rnacentral:rRNA from 1 species